rnacentral:rRNA from 1 species
UUCUUACUCUACUCCUACGGGAGGCAGCAGUGGGGAAUAUUAGACAAUGGGGGCAACCCUGAUCCAGCCAUGCCGCGUAGGAGAUGAAGGCCUUAGGGUUGUAAAACUCUUUCAGCGGGAGAUUGUGACGUACAUCAGAAGAGUCGUC